rnacentral:rRNA from 1 species
GGGUUGUGAGGUUAAGUGACUAAGCGUACACGGUGGAUGCCUAGGCAGUCAGAGGCGAUGAAGGGCGUGCUAAUCUGCGAAAAGCGUCGGUAAGGUGAUAUGAACCGUUAUAACCGGCGAUACCCGAAUGGGGAAACCCAGUGUGUUUCGACACACUAUCAUGUCAUGAAUACAUAGUGGCAUGAGGCGAACCGGGGGAACUGAAACAUCUAAGUACCCCGAGGAAAAGAAAUCAACCGAGAUUCCCCCAGUAGCGGCGAGCGAACGGGAGGAGCCCAGAACCUGAAUCGGCUUGUGUUUAGUGGAAGCGUCUGGAAAGUCGCGCAGCAAGGGUGAUAGCCCCGUACACUAAAAUGCACAGGUCGUGAGUUCGAUGAGUAGGGCGGGACACGUGACAUCCUGUCUGAAUAUGGGGGGACCAUCCUCCAAGGCUAAAUACUCCUGACUGACCGAUAGUGAACCAGUACCGUGAGGGAAAGGCGAAAAGAACCCCGGCGAGGGGAGUGAAAUAGAACCUGAAACCGUGUACGUACAAGCAGUGGGAGCACCUUCGUGGUGUGACUGCGUACCUUUUGUAUAAUGGGUCAGCGACUUAUAUUUUGUAGCAAGGUUAACCGUAUAGGGGAGCCGUAGGGAAACCGAGUCUUAACUGGGCGAAUAGUUGCAAGGUAUAGACCCGAAACCCGGUGAUCUAGCCAUGGGCAGGUUGAAGGUUGGGUAACACUAACUGGAGGACCGAACCGACUAAUGUUGAAAAUUAGCGGAUGACUUGUGGCUGGGGUGAAAGGCCAAUCAAACCGGGAGAUAGCUGGUUCUCCCGAAAGCUAUUUAGGUAGCGCCUCGUGAACUCAUCUUCGGGGGUAGAGCACUGUUUCGGCUAGGGGGCCAUCCCGGCUUACCAAACCGAUGCAAACUCCGAAUACCGAAGAAUGUUAUCACGGGAGACACACGGCGGGUGCUAACGUCCGUCGUGAAGAGGGAAACAACCCAGACCGCCAGCUAAGGUCCCAAAGUCAUGGUUAAGUGGGAAACGAUGUGGGAAGGCAUAGACAGCCAGGAUGUUGGCUUAGAAGCAGCCAUCAUUUAAAGAAAGCGUAAUAGCUCACUGGUCGAGUCGGCCUGCGCGGAAGAUGUAACGGGGCUAAACCAUGCACCGAAGCUGCGGCAGCGACGCUUAGGCGUUGUUGGGUAGGGGAGCGUUCUGUAAGCCGUUGAAGGUGGCCUGUGAGGGUUGCUGGAGGUAUCAGAAGUGCGAAUGCUGACAUAAGUAACGAUAAAGCGGGUGAAAAGCCCGCUCGCCGGAAGACCAAGGGUUCCUGUCCAACGUUAAUCGGGGCAGGGUGAGUCGACCCUAAGGCGAGGCUGAAAAGCGUAGUCGAUGGGAAACAGGUUAAUAUUCCUGUACUUGGUGUUACUGCGAAGGGGGGACGGAGAAGGCUAGGCUGGCCGGGCGACGGUUGUCCCGGUUUAAGCGUGUAGGGGGUGUGACCUGGUAAAUCCGGUUGCAUAUCAACCCUGAGGCGUGAUGACGAUGCACUACGGUGCAGAAGUAGUUGAUGCCCUGCUUCCAGGAAAAGCCUCUAAGCUCCAGGUAACAUUAAAUCGUACCCCAAACCGACACAGGUGGUCAGGUAGAGAAUACCAAGGCGCUUGAGAGAACUCGGGUGAAGGAACUAGGCAAAAUGGUGCCGUAACUUCGGGAGAAGGCACGCUGGCAUGUAGGUGAAGUCCCUCGCGGAUGGAGCUGAAGCCAGUCGAAGAUACCAGCUGGCUGCAACUGUUUAAUAAAAACACAGCACUGUGCAAACACGAAAGUGGACGUAUACGGUGUGACGCCUGCCCGGUGCUGGAAGGUUAAUUGAUGGGGUCAGCCGCAAGGCGAAGCUCUUGAUCGAAGCCCCAGUAAACGGCGGCCGUAACUAUAACGGUCCUAAGGUAGCGAAAUUCCUUGUCGGGUAAGUUCCGACCUGCACGAAUGGCGUAAUGAUGGCCAGGCUGUCUCCACCCGAGACUCAGUGAAAUUGAACUCGCUGUGAAGAUGCAGUGUACCCGCGGCAAGACGGAAAGACCCCGUGAACCUUUACUAUAGCUUGACACUGAACAUUGAGCCUUGAUGUGUAGGAUAGGUGGGAGGCUUUGAAGCGUGGACGCCAGUCUGCGUGGAGCCAUCCUUGAAAUACCACCCUUUAAUGUUUGAUGUUCUAACUCGGCCCCAUAAUCUGGGGUGAGGACAGUGUCUGGUGGGUAGUUUGACUGGGGCGGUCUCCUCCCAAAGAGUAACGGAGGAGCACGAAGGUUAGCUAAUCACGGUCGGACAUCGUGAGGUUAGUGCAAAGGCAUAAGCUAGCUUGACUGCGAGAGAGUGACGGCUCGAGCAGGUACGAAAGUAGGUCUUAGUGAUCCGGUGGUUCUGAAUGGAAGGGCCAUCGCUCAACGGAUAAAAGGUACUCCGGGGAUAACAGGCUGAUACCGCCCAAGAGUUCAUAUCGACGGCGGUGUUUGGCACCUCGAUGUCGGCUCAUCACAUCCUGGGGCUGAAGUAGGUCCCAAGGGUAUGGCUGUUCGCCAUUUAAAGUGGUACGCGAGCUGGGUUUAGAACGUCGUGAGACAGUUCGGUCCCUAUCUGCCGUGGGCGUUGGAAGAUUGAGAGGGGUUGCUCCUAGUACGAGAGGACCGGAGUGAACGCACCACUGGUGUUCGGGUUGUCAUGCCAAUGGCAUUGCCCGGUAGCUAAGUGCGGAAAAGAUAAGCGCUGAAAGCAUCUAAGCGCGAAACUUGCCUCAAGAUGAGUCUUCCCUGGGCCUUCAAGGCCCCUGAAGGAACGUUUAAGACUAAGACGUUGAUAGGCUGGGUGUGUAAGUGCAGCGAUGCAUUGAGCUAACCAGUACUAAUGAUCCGUGAGGCUUAACCUUACAACACCGAAGGUGUUU